CCCGGAACAGCUGCCGCGCACCAGCCUCUCUCCUGCGUCGACGGCUACCAACCAGUUUCCCCUUCUCACCUCCCCAGCAGAUCGGUGAGGAAACGAAGCCCACCACCGACAACCCCCAUCAUUCCUCUCUCCCCCCCGCUUCCCUUUCGCCGGUGCCGGUUCUGGUCCCGCGGCGGCAAUGGGGAUGGUGCGGGCGGCGUCGUUUCUGCUCCUGGUGGCGCUGCUCGCGGCGGCGGACGCAAGGAGGCAGAAGGGCGGCGAGACUGCGUGCGACAAGGGGUGGGAGUGCAGCGGCAGCAGGUUCUGCUGCAACGAGACCAUCACCGACUACUUCAAGGCCUACCAGUUCGAGGAGCUCUUCGCCCAGCGCAACAACUCCCUCGCCCACGCCGCCGGCUUCUGGAACUACCAGGCCUUCAUCACCGCCGCGUCCCUCUUCGAGCCUCGCGGGUUCGGCACCACCGGCGGCAGGGAGAUGAGCAUGAAGGAGGUCGCCGCCUUCCUCGGCCACGUCGGCGCCAAGACCUCGUGUGGAUAUAGUCUUGCCACAGGUGGUUCAUUGGCUUGGGGUCUUUGCUACAACCAUGAAAUGAGCCCAAGCCAGAGCUACUGCGACGACAGCAACGAAUUAUACCGUUGUGCUGAAGGAGUUGGGUACUAUGGCCGAGGCGCCCUUCCUGUUUACUGGAACUACAACUAUGGUAUCGUGGGUAAGGGUAUCAAGCAGGAUCUGUUGAACCACCCAGAGUUAUUGGAACAGAAUGCCACUCUAGCAUUUGAAGCAGCGAUCUGGAGGUGGAUGACUCCAAUGAAGAGGAAGCAGCCAUCAGCCCAUGAUGCCUUUGUUGGCAACUGGAAACCAACCAAGAAAGACACUUUGUCCAAGAGGUAUCCUGGCUUCGGUGUGACAAUGAACAUUUUGUAUGGUGAUGCCAUCUGUGGUAAAGGUACCACUGAAAGUAUGAAUGCCAUUAUAUCCCACUAUCAGCAUUAUCUUGAUUUGAUGGGAGUUGGUGUUCAGCACUCUGGAGAUAACUUGGAUUGUGCCGACCAAGUUAUGGGAGCAUGGGUGAAAAAAAAAGAAAUCACAGCAAACAAAAAACACAGUCAACACCACGAAAUCUAUUGUGAAUUUACAGAGAUAGAGUUCAGACGUAUAUUCUUAAUAGCCUACAGAUGGAUGGAUAUUUACCACUGAAGCGGCUUAUCCAAGUGCCUGCUUGGGGACCGUCAGCUGGGAACCACACAUGGACCUGGAUAGGCUGACUAGUGAGUUGUGUCUUUUUCCUCUUUCAUUUCAGGGCACCAGCAACCAUUACUGACAUUCAAACAAGGCAAGCAGGAAGGGGAUGGAGCUCACCAACAUCCCCCAUCUUGCCUCCUCCUCCAGCUUCUUCUUCUCCAGCUGCAGUCCUUGCGCCUGCAGAAGAACUGCGAAGGCUGUGAUAACAGCGUUUGCUGCUGGUAGUAGGUGCAGUGCUGAUCCUGCAUGCCCAGAGCCCAUUGAACAGCAUAAUGUGAACAGCCUUUCAGUGGCCUCAGGUCCUGCAAAUACCCAAUGUUAUAGAAGGAGAGAUUUUGCUGCUGUUGCUCUGCUCCCUUUUCUACUUCCUCAUGUUGAUAUGGCGAGUGCGGCUGACUCAUAUGAUGGAUCAAUUAUUCGAGACGGAGUGAGGAAUGUCUUAUCCAAGGUGAAAGCAGCUGGCGUGCUUCGUUUGGUUUUCCAUGAUGCAGGGACUUUUGAUAUUAGCGACAAAUCAGGUGGAAUGAAUGGCUCCAUAAUUUAUGAAGCUGACAGACCUGAAAAUACAGGACUUAGUAAAUCCUUAAAGAUACUACGAAAAGCAAAAGAAGGAAUCGACCAGGUUCAGCAAGUGUCAUGGGCGGACUUAAUCGCAGUGGCUGGUGCUGAAGCAGUUGCACUCUGUGGAGGGCCUGAAAUUCCCGUAAGACUAGGCCGAUUAGAUUCCAGCACUGCUGAUCCUACCGGUAAACUUCCUGAAGAAACAUUGGAUGUUGUCGCCUUGAAAACAUCAUUUGGCAAAAAGGGGUUUUCGACACAGGAGAUGGUCGUUUUAUCUGGAGCUCACACAAUUGGGGGUAAAGGAUUUGGGAAUCCAAAUGCUUUUGAUAACGCCUAUUUCAAAGUACUCCUUGAGAAGCCACGGCCGACUUCAUCUGGCAUGCCGAUAGGGCUGCCCACGGACUGGGCACUCACUGAAGAUGAUGAAUGCUUGAGGUGGAUCAACAUCUAUGCGGAGGACCAGGAUAAAUUUUUCGCCGAUUUCAGAGAUGCAUAUACCAAGCUUGUAAACAGUGGAGCCUCGUGGAGAACAACUUAGCUAGAAUUACCUAGUUUUUUCGUCGAAAUGGAGGUGUCACCCUAGCCUCUACAGGAUCGAUGCACGCAACUGUAGAAGUUUUGCUACAUGUGUAAGAUUCGUGCAAAUUUUGCUCACAGCAUAUCCUUGCCCGUUCUGUAGUGAUUCACUGCUGCCCUAUCUCCCGCUCGUUGUUGCCAAAACGCCAAGAUACUUGUAGCUAUGAAAUAGUGUUACUGCACCCAACAAAAUUUGUGUUAAGUUAGCAGUUAAAUACAUAAUAUUCAAGUCAGAUUAAUAUACGGUAUUCCCUGUC